rnacentral:tRNA from 1 species
UCCCAGGUGGCUCAGAUGGUAAAGCAUCUGCCUACAAUGCGGGAGACCUGGGUUCGAUCCCUGGGUCGGGAA